UUCGAUUAAGGUUCGAUUCGAGCGCAGCGAGAAAGCGUUGCCGCAGGCAACGACCCGAAGGGCGAAGCGCGCAGCGCUGAGUCAUCCUUCCCCCACCACCA
rnacentral:sRNA from 2 species